GAAAGAGAGAGAGAGAGAGAGAGAGAGAGAGAGAGAGAGAGAGAGAAAGAGAGAAAGAAGGAAGGAAGGAAGGAAAGAGAGGAAAAGGAAAUAAAGAAAAUAUGGUACAUAUACACAAUGGCUGUUUAGCCAUACGAAGAAUGAAAUCAUGUCUUUUGCAGUACCAUGGAUAGAACCGCGGACCAUUAUCUUAAGUGAAAUAAGUCAGACAUGUAUUGCACGCUCUCACUUGUAAGUGGAAGCUAAAUAAUAGGUCCACAUGGACACAGAGUGUGGAAUAAUAGACAUUGGAGACUUGGAAGGGUGGGAGCAUGAAAAAAGGGUGAUGGAUGAGACAUUAUUUAAUGUGUACAAUGUAUAUUUUUCAGGUGGUGGUUACACUAAAAGCCCAGUCUUCACCAUUACAGAAUAUAUACAGUUCCCAGCCGGGUGCGGUGGCUCAUGCCUAUAA
rnacentral:lncRNA from 1 species